rnacentral:tRNA from 1 species
GUCGGAGUGGCGGAAUCUGGUAGACGCGCUAGGUUGAGGGCCUAGUCCCCGAUAAGGGGGUGGGGGUUCGAGUCCCCCCUCCGACA